CGGACCCCGCGCAACAGACGCUUACGAACCUCGUCAGAUCCGGAAGGAAGCAGCGAUAAGUAAGGCUGGCUGUGUCGCGGGAUUUC
rnacentral:SRP_RNA from 1 species